rnacentral:misc_RNA from 1 species
UGGCACUUUACAUUUUCAACAAUUAAUUCUAAAUGCUGACAAGAAUGUUUCUUUCCUUGGGUGAUAUAGAACAAUCCCAAUGCCCCAAUUAAUAAAGUAUUACGAACAAAAAUUAUUGAGGCACAGAUUCCACCUAGCUAAGUCAUCUAAUUUAUCAGUUGGGAUCUCCAAGCCUAUAAUUUACAAUGGCCAGAAGUUCAAUCAAGACCACAUUUUGGAUUAAUCCCACAUUUUGAAGACAUGGUACAACAAGAAAGUAGGAAAUUCAGUAGAAUCACUGACCUGUUUAAAACUAUCUCAUCUCCACAACCCUUUUGUAGGAUGCGUUGACAAGAAUGAGUCUAACACAUAGCCCCUUUCCUCUGAGAUGAACUUAGUCUGUGGCCUGCUACUUGAAAAUGUUCUACAACAAAGAGUGCUGUUCUGCGAGGAUGACUGUGGAGGAUACAAGUUAUUGAAGAUUGAGGAGAAUUUAUCUGCAUUGCAUGUAUCAGAGUAAUCCACAGUACUAAAGGAGUCUCUGGUGCUCUCAGUAGUGAAGGAAGCCUCAUCUGAGCUUGUAAAAAGAGACCAAUCACUUGAUGUAGCAUCAGAGAAUUCCAUUGCUUGAGCAAUGUUUCUGUUUGUGCUCCC